UCUUCCGGCAUAGAGCCCCGACGACGGAACUCUAUGCCGGAAGAAAAGAAUGCAAGUGUGAAAAAGCCCUAACAUCCUUUCUUAUGUGUUACAGCUUGUACAGAGUCCGAAGAGGAAGAACCCAAAAACCAUACAGCCCAGGGGACGGCAUUUUCUUACACCUAGUCCCCCCAGCCGAAGUGUUAAAGUGGCAUCAGAGAUCACCAAGAAGCAAAAAAAGAUAAUGUGCCAUUAAGAUUCAUUAUAUAAUGUAAGAUGGCUUCCAGAUGUACCGGUUUUCCCUUUUACAUCACCGUGUUCCCAUAGGGUUCAAAAAUUCCCUUUUCGGUGACAUAAUCUUGCAGAAACUGCAGUCCCCACACGGAAACGAUCCGCUUGUACCCAGCCAGGAAGUCCACUGCUGUCAAUGCCCUUCUCCACGCCUCCUCUGCACACCAUCCGAAAACCAUACAGGCAAUACCCACAGGGCAAUUUUUAAGAACUCGCAGAAUCUGCUCCAGUGAAGAGCAGUUUGAACAACAGGCAUCGGUUCUGACGCGGCCAUUCCUUGAAAGAGGAUACUCACCUGAUACGAUCCAAAAAGGUUACGAGAGAGCCAAAAAAACAAAAAGAGACUCCUUGUUGAUCAAUCCACAGUAUUUUGGGAUUCCGUGGGGAUGGAUCCUGCAACUAACCAGCGGAAGACAUGGCCGGGACAAAGGACAAGAAAGAAUAAGAACAUCAAGCAAUAUACACCCACUUAUGAGAGAAUGGACAUUAUAUGGCCAAUGAGGCCUUUAAUAUACCUUUGUAUAUUGUUGGUUUGGGGCUAUUCUUAGUUAUUCAGACUAGGGGCAGCCCUCAUAUGGAUAUCUUAUGUCCUUCACGUUGGGGGAGAUGCAUAUAUGUAUCCCGCCCUAUGGGUCUCGUUUUCUGAUGUCUUUGUUUUAUGUGGGGUGGGAGUGCCCUGGUCGACCCCACUGGCGGCUUUUGCCACCGGUGUGGCCGCCCCGGCCACUCUUACUCUACACUGUUGUGGUCUUAGAUUUUUAGAGGGAUGCAUAUUUAGAUCCAGCCAGGAUACUUUGAUCUUAUAGCCAAUUAUGGCAUAUUGGCCACGCAGUCCGGUUGAACACCAGUGAGCCUGUCCCAUUAUUUAGUUGGGAUUGAGUUGCAAGUUUAAUCCUCAAGCAUUGAUCAGGGUCUUAUGCUAUUGACACUUUCUUUUCAGUUUCACGAUGAUUUGUUCACUUUGUAUCAUAAAUCCAUGAUCUAUGUCUUACUGAUCAUGCAUUUAUCAUUAUUAUUUUAUUAAUAUAUAUAUAUAUUUAUAUAUAUAUAUAUAUAUAUAUUGUCAUCACUGUCACAUUUUGUAUCAUUUACAUAAGGUAUCCUUAAUGUUUUUCACUCACUAUGUCAUUUUAGUGCAUAGAUUGUCUAUGCGAUUUGAUAUAUAAAAAAAGUUUUAUAUCUUCACAUGAAUGUACACAUAUAUCUCGCUGAUUUGGGCAUGCGGGCUGUGUGGGACCCAAUGUGGAUGUAUAGAGUGCUUCCCUCCCUUUCAUAUACGCUAUACGAUCUAUGCGACCACUAUCACUUCUUGUUUUAAAUCCAUUACUGGUUGGUGCGGGUCACCUGCGUUCCACGGGGUCGCGGAUCACGCAUACGCUGCACGACGCCAUCUCAACGUGCUCUGUGACGUCUGUAUUUGCUGCGCAUGCGAGGUACGCAGACAUAGACGCGCUGAGAGAUGACGUCGUGGAUCAUGGAGUCUUCCGCGCCCGAUUAAGUGGACUGCAGGUGGCUUGAAUUCAGGUAAUAUCUCCCCACUCCUAUUUAGACCAUAUAUACCCUGCUGGUAUAUCAUUCGGUACCUCCUGACGAAGCCGCUGAGGUGAAACGCGCGUCGAGGUCUCGCGCUUAGGGUCUGACAUUCUUCCAGUCACCAUGUCUUCAGGUACGUCCUGUGUUUAGCCUAGCUUGGCAUCCCCCGGCACUUCCAUUACAUCCAUAGUGGGUCCUAGAUUCCUCAGGCCUACCACUGUGACUAUUAUUUUUUAGGAUACUGAUAGAUCCUUUUAUCACUAUUAGUCAUGCCGCAUAUGUUUUAGGGGAUGUGAGAGAUAGCCCAUGGACACCAUGGUAUGAUACUUUGCAUUUGACAGCAUAUAACCCUUUUGUGGUGGAUAUUUUUAUGCUAUGCAGUAUCAGUUGUCCCUGUGCUUUUAUCCCUCGUUCCUUGAGUGCUACACUAUCCUGUGUCUGAUUGGUAUAUAGGUUGACAGGUGUAUGCUAGGGUGUCCUUGACCCUUUGCUUUUCUGUACACUGUAUACCAUCCUGU